UAGAGGUUUCUUUCAUAGCUACUAUUUUUGUAAUUUGGAGUCAUCUGCAUUCAAUCAUAUGUACUUUUUGCUGCUGCUUCUCCUUCUUCUUCUUCUAUUUUUCCAAAUAAAUAAAAUACAUUUAAUAAAAAACUCAAGGAAAAAUGAAUUUAAAUAUUUAAUCCAUUUCCAAUACAGGAAAAGUUUGUGGACACUUGUUGCAAUCUGUGAAUUCUGAUAAGGGGGUGUUAAGAAGUGCAGUUGCAGGGCUUAGAGUUUU
rnacentral:lncRNA from 1 species